UCCACUCCCCACUCUUUCCUCCACUCCCACACACUCUCCUCCUAUCUCUCCCCACGAAAUUGCUGCUCCACCAAGGCUCCAUGGCUGGCCAUGGCCAUGAGAGCACACCAAACCGCAGCUCUCCUUCUCUCUCAAGCUCCCCCUCCCCAUGAGAGCAUUCCUCUCACUCUCUUCUUCCCCAACCCUAGCUGGUUUCCUCUCCUCUUCUUCUUCCUCCAUUGCUAAGAUUGGAUCUUGAUGCAGGUGCAUGUUGGUCCAAGCAUGGAGAAGGUUGAGCUAUCCUCAGAUCUGAAGUUCUUGAGCAAAAUCCAAAUCGAGUGAUUCAAAGUUCCGCAGAUAGGUAUUGAAAAGAUAUACAACUUGGCGUUGGUCUCAUCCUCAAAUUCGUUACGGAUUUUGCACGAUGCGAACAAUUCCGGAGAAGAAGAAGAAGUGGAAUCGGACAAGGAUUGUAUUUAUGUUGUUGGGAUUCUUAUAUUGAUGGAGUUGAAAAAGUACAGGGACAAAUAAGCCAA